CGAGGUAACAGAACAGAAGGGCAGAGUCAGUCCAGCAUCAGUAUCCUCCGGGAAUGCGAGCUGAUCACUGGCAUAACACGAUCUCUAUAGAGACCAGCACGAGCACAAUCUCAUGGAGACAGAGUCCCAGACGCAGCAGAUCCAGCAGAUCACUGAAUAAGACACUCCGAGCCACUUCGUUCCUCUACAGACCUCUAGAGUGGGUAAACCAUGGGGAAGAAAGUCUUGCAGUGUUUUCCUUGGUACAAACGCUGUAAAGACCAGGGUAAAAGCAGGAUGUGCCCUCCUCCACCUGUGCCAUCUGUUGAGGUGCAACCUGGCUUCUCUCCGACAGUCUCCUGGGGGUACGACGGAGAGGAAAACGCCGGACGUCCCGUCUAUUUUUCCCAUAAAGCGCGAAUAGUUUAUCGCCACCAGAUGGAUGGCAAUAUUAUCGAUGCCACCUGCUGACCUCUGGGCUUCUGUCCCAGAAUCCCUUGCCUUGUACCCGUGGCUGUAGACGUUCAGUGUAGAGGAGCGUCAUAGGAUCCUACUAGACUGUUCUGUCCUGUGUAAUUAAACUAAAUCUUUUGUAUUUAGUAAAGAUGUCACAGUGUUUCUUCUGGUUCCCCCAUCCCCUCGCCAUACUUGGCAUCUUUACUUACUGUGUUGAAAUAAAAUAUAAUGUUUCAAGGCAGACAGAGUGAUGUAGGCCACAAGGAAUGUAGAAACAGGAACUGAGCUGGAUUUUAUAAAUACAAAUGUAAUGUGUUUUGUCAUGCAAAUAUGAUCCUGGAUGUAUGAUUGCCCAUUGCUUUUCAGAGGACAAACCAUGACUGUUUUUUCAGAGGUUCAUGAAUGCAUUUCAGGCAAAAGAUACAAUUUUGUACUAAUCACUGGAAUUAUAACAUAACAUUUGUGUACAUUUAGUAAUAGUUUAUUAUUCUUUGGUUAUGUCAAAGAAGUAGUUUAAGUAUUGGGGAAAAAAUUGUUUAAAUAUAUAAACAUAUUUCUAUUGUUAAUCUUUGUCUCAUUUAGCCUAAAAUCUGAAAUGUUCUUAAUUGUUCCCUUAUUGUACAAAAAGGCUUUAUUUCUGUGUGCAAAUUAUAAAUUCUUAUUUUGUACUGGGGUAAAAUAUGAUCUGGACAUGUUAUUGACUAUUCAGUUUUCAGUUUGAGGGUGUUUUGCUACAUAAAUAGAUAUGUAAAGGGAUAAACCAGCCAUAAAACUCUAAUACUAAUUCAUGCAAAAUAAAAAUGCCACUAUUUUGAUGUAUAAUUUCCCAUCUAUAAUGUGUUAGGAAAAAAGAGCGUGUUUGAUAUUACAAGAAAAUGUUACCUUCCUAAAUAAUUAUUUUUUUAUAUUGUACUAAUGCCCAAAUAAAUUAUUAAUUUAAUGUUUA